rnacentral:tRNA from 1 species
UGUUUGGUAAUCAAAAAUGAAUCAGGGUUGCAAACUUUGAAGUGAGGCUACUCCCAAAUAU